rnacentral:rRNA from 2 species
CGCCUUUUGAACUACAAACAUAAAAGGUCCUGCCUGCCCAGUGACACUUGUUUCAACGGCCGCGGUAUCAUGACCGUGCAAAGGUAGCGUAAUCACUUGUCUUUUAAAUAAAGACCAGUAUGAAUGGCAAGACGAAACCUAACUGUCUCCCUAAGUUAGUCAAUAAAAUUGAUCUUCCCGUGCAGAAGCGGGAAUAAUAAUAUAAGACGAGAAGACCCUGUGGAGCUUCAAACUUAAACUAACAAACUAUAAAUGCCUUAGCACAAGUUUUGGGUUGGGGCGACCAUGAGGUAAAAUAUAACCCUCAAGACAAAAACUAAGAAGGACACUUCAAAUAAAUAAAAUAAUGUAAUUGACCCAAUAAUUGAUCAACGGACCAAGUUACCCCAGGGAUAACAGCGCAAUCUACUCAAAGAGCCCUUAUCGAAGAGCAGGUUUACGACCUCGAUGUUGGAUCAGGACUCCCAAAUAAUGCAACAGUUAUUAAAGGUUCGUUUGUUCAACGAUUAAAGUCCU